rnacentral:misc_RNA from 1 species
ACACAAGUCUCGUAUUCUCUCAUUCUAAUCUAAUAGGGCGUGAUUCACGCGGUAAUGGCUGGUGUAACUUACAAAACGUCACAUUGAUACACACGAUGGCAUUAUCUGAAUCCCAAAUACCACCUGACGCCCAGCAUUAUUUGGUGUGUGGCAGUGAAGACUGUGAGAAGAACUGUCAAUUUUACUGCAAUGACUGUCACCAACCAAUGUGUGAACAAUGCAGAGAUGAACAUCAGAAGAAUAAGAAAACCAAGAGCCAUGAAGUGGUUCCUUAUAAACAACGCAAACGACAGCUUCCUCUGGAGAAAUGCAAAAUUCAUCCCACAAGAAACAUAGAACUUCUCUGUGAGGAUUGCCAAAUUCCCAUUUGUUCUAAAUGCACAGGAACCAAAGAACAUCGCGGUCAUGCAUUUACUGACCUAGAAUUGGUCUUUACUGAAAAAUGUUCACACUGUCACAUAGAAAUUAACAAAAUUCGAAGCUAUUUUGAGCCUACUUCUCAAGAUCUGAAAAAGGAAAUUGCUGGAGAUGUCACAGAAAUGAAGAAGAUCAUUGAAGGUGUAAGAACAUCCAUAAAGGCUGAAGCUGAGUCUGUGAAAAAGCUGGUAGACAGAAUUACAUCAGAUAAAAUAGAACAAGUCAACAAAAUAGAACAAUCAUUGUUAGAAACAUUAAAUGGUCAAAACCAAAAAAUAGAUGACUACAUCAAUUAUCUAAAUGAUUUAAUCAAAACGUUUUAUGGUUACCUAUCUCCCUCAAACAUAGAACAAUUAACAUUUGCCCUCAAAUCAGAAAACUUGGUCAUUAGACCCAUACCAGAGACAUCCAAACCAGUCCCACCCAUAUUUACUACUGGUCAAUAUAGCAAAGAAGAUGUCGCCAAACUACUGGGUAGAAUAACUUUCCCCAACACUAAACCACAGAACAGAAAAAUAAAACCCAUGGAGACUGCCUCUACACAGUUGAAACCUACAGGGAAACAGAGGAAACAAGACAGAGAGAAAUCUGACGUGAAACAAACACUGUCUCUGUCUUCCUCUGUCACCAAGGUCAGAAAGUACAGAGUACCAGGUGUUGAUGAUGUAUAUCAUAUAUCACUGGGUAAAUCAGGCAGACUCUGGGUCAGUGAUAGUGAAGGUAACCUUGUCCAAACAGAUCUACAGGGGAAUCAGCAACAGAAGAUACAAACCAGUGGUGAAUUAGAAGGCUACCACACAGUCACACAGGACGGGGAUCUGAUCUAUACAGACAGAUACAACAAAGUCAUCAAUAGGAUAACACCAGGUAAAACAAUUACUGAAUUCAUUAAAACAGGAGACUGGGAACCACUCAGUAUACACUCCUCCCACAUCAAUGGGGACAUACUGGUGGGGAUGAGGAAGUAUGGAGAGGGUAAAGUCACCAGGUACAACAAGACAGGGACAGAGAUACAGAACAUACAGAGAGACAACAAAGGACAGACACUGUAUAGAUCUACCACACUACAUCACAGAAAACAUCAAUGGUGAUGUCUGUGUAUCAGACUAUAACAAACAUGCUGUAGUGGUGGUGGAUAAAUCAGGACAACACAGGUUCUCCUACACAGGUCAGGGGUCAGGGUUUUAUCCCUUUGGAAUAUGUACUGAUGUACUCGGUCACAUCCUGGUGUGUGAUGAUAUCAGUAAAACAGUUCAUCUCCUGAAUCAGGACGGUCAGUUCUUGUCUCUACUUCUCACACCACAACAAGGGGUAAAGCUUCCCCGUAGUGUGUGUGUGGAUGAUGAGAAUAAUCUCUGGGUGGGACAAGGUGACACCAACACAGUGACAGUGUACAAGUAUCUACAGUGAACAUUUUAUGUCCAUACAAUAAUUACAUGUACAUGUAUACGUACUUUGUGUAUGUUGUGAGACAAUGUAACAACAACACUGUGAUACAGAUAGUGUAUAAUUACUGGUAUCUACUGUGUACAUAAAAGUACAUAUUAUGUAUUAUACAUAUCAUUCAAGACAUAUAUAACCCUCUGUAUGUUUAUUUGUUAUAUUUCUUAUUAGAUUAAUGUCAUUGCAGAAGAGGUGAAUAUUAAAUAUACAUUUAUUAAC